AUUGAACGCUGGCGGCAGGCCUAACACAUGCAAGUCGAAUGGUAACAGGAAACAGCUUGCUGUUUCGCUGACGAGUGGCGGACGGGUGAGUAAUGUCUGGGAAACUGCCUGAUGGAGGGGGAUAACUACUGGAAACGGUAGCUAAUACCGCAUAACGUCGCAAGACCAAAGAGGGGGACCUUCGGGCCUCUUGCCAUCAGAUGUGCCCAGAUGGGAUUAGCUAGUAGGUGGGGUAACGGCUCACCUAGGCGACGAUCCCUAGCUGGUCUGAGAGGAUGACCAGCCACACUGGAACUGAGACACGGUCCAGACUCCUACGGGAGGCAGCAGUGGGGAAUAUUGCACAAUGGGCGCAAGCCUGAUGCAGCCAUGCCGCGUGUAUGAAGAAGGCCUUCGGGUUGUAAAGUACUUUCAGCGGGGAGGAAGGGAGUAAAGUUAAUACCUUUGCUCAUUGACGUUACCCUCAGAAGAAGCACCGGCUAACUCCGUG
rnacentral:rRNA from 1 species